UUGGAGCGCCUUCUCUCUGCUUUUGGAGAAAGGGAAUACACGAUAAAGAAGGAGACGGAAAGAAGAGAAAAAGUGAGGCGGGAGACAGAGGGAAAAGGGCGUGAACAGAAAGGGCCGGAGCGUGCAGGGGAGCACAGGGCGCGGGGGCGGCACUGCCGAGCCGGGAGCGCUGCCGCUUGGGCAGGUGCCGCGGCCGCUGCCCGGAGGCGGCAUGUGACGCGCGGCCGCAGCUGCCCGCGGGCGGAGCGCUCUCAGACCCCGGAGCGCACACCGCGGGGCCAUCGGUGCCAUCGCGGAUCUCCAGGCUCCUCAUCAGUCCGCCGGGGCCGCAGCAGCGCUUCUGGGAAGACGGGCGAUGAACUGAAGGGCGGCUCCGGGCAGGGGGGCACGAUCUUAAGGACAGUCGCUCCCUGAACGCGGAGCCGGAGGAGACGAAGGGAAGGUGGAGCGGACGCCACCCGCGCACCGGGCAGGCGCGGAGACCGGCGUGGGACAGCCACCUGGAGCGCAGCUGCCAGAAAGAAGGACUUUGCUGCUUUGGGCCAGGAUCUGAACUUAGGUGUAAACCAUUGCCCUGGCAGAGGGAACCUACCCAGUCCAUUGCUGCCUGCUACAAGAUAUGAACAGUAAUGGCACAUAUUUUGGUUAUGAGUCACUCAGAGGACUGUGGAUUGAAUGAACUGUAUCCAUCCCCAUCAUGAUGUACAGA
rnacentral:lncRNA from 1 species